rnacentral:rRNA from 1 species
AUUGAACGCUGGCGGAAUGCUUUACACAUGCAAGUCGAACGAUGAACCUUAGCUUGCUAAGGGGAUUAGUGGCGAACGGGUGAGUAAUAUAUCGGAACGUGCCUUGUAAUGGGGGAUAACUAGUCGAAAGAUUAGCUAAUACCGCAUACGCCCUGAGGGGGAAAGUAGGGGAUCUUCGGACCUUACGUUAUAAGAGCGGCCGAUAUCUGAUUAGCUAGUUGGUGGGGUAAUGGCCUACCAAGGCGACGAUCAGUAGCUGGUCUGAGAGGACGACCAGCCACACUGGAACUGAGACACGGUCCAGACUCCUACGGGAGGCAGCAGUGGGGAAUUUUGGACAAUGGGCGCAAGCCUGAUCCAGCCAUGCCGCGUGAGUGAGGAAGGCCUUCGGGUUGUAAAGCUCUUUCGCAAGGGAAGAAAACUUACCAUCGCAUAAAUGGUGAGGCUGACGGCACCUUGAUAAGAAGCACCGGCUAACUACGUG